rnacentral:snRNA from 1 species
UUGCUUCAGCAGCAUAAAUACUAACUUUGGAACAAUACAGAGAAGACGAGCACAGCCCCUGUACAUGGAUGAAAUGCAAAUUCAUGAAGUGUUCCAUAUUUUA